AUGGAGAAAGUAGGGCCGGGACUUCCUGUGUGGAGGUCAGUGCGUUUAUUUACAGUGAAUCAAAUAACAAAGGUCCAAAUAAUCCUCUCCACGGGGUUUCUUCCUGUGCUCGUUCCUCGCUCCCGUGCCGUGGCUUCUCCUGGUGUCUGUGGUGCUUUGAAAUUCAAGCUGUGGCCUGAGCACCUCGUGGGAUCAGCCAGCCAAAGCCUCAGAGAUAUCCAGACCCCCAUGCCCCAGGCUGCCUCUUCCACUCCAGGCGGUACACUGAGAAUCUCUCCAGCACGCCACCCUCAGAUCCUAGACACCCUAUGGUGUAUGAGCUCAUUUCCUCAGCUGGUAUCAGCACUUUACUUAUUUGGUAUGUUACCCCCCCCCCAUCAAUUUUCCUCAUUUAUUUAUUUAUUUUUUUUACCUGUUCUUUGCUUUAAUACCAAACUUUGGUUCAUCCUGUCUGAAGCAUGCUGUUUCAGCUCAUCGAUCUUUUGUUUCUGA
rnacentral:lncRNA from 1 species